rnacentral:rRNA from 1 species
CCUACGUGAGGCUGCAGUGGGGGAUAUUGCACAAUGGGGGAAACCCUGAUGCAGCGACGCCGCGUGUGGGAAGACGGUCCUCUGGAUUGUAAACCACUGUCCCCAGGGACGAAGAUGACGGUACCUGGGGAUGCAGCUCCGGCUAACUACGUGCCAGCAGCCGCGGUAAUACGUAGGGAGCGAGCGUUGUCCGGAAUUACUGGGUGUAAAGGGAGCGUAGGCGGGACUGCAAGUUGGGUGUCAAAUCUACCGGCUCAACCGGUAGCCGCACUCAAAACUGCAGUUCUUGAGUGAAGUAGAGGCAGGCGGAAUGCCUAGUGUAGCGGUGAAAUGAGUAGAUAUUAGGAGGAACACCAGUGGCGAAGGCGGCCUGCUGGGCUUUUACUGACGCUGAGGCUCGAAAGUGUGGGGAGCAAACAGGAUUAGAUACCCGGGUAGUC